CAGGAGGUCUAUUUAUUUGUCAAGUCAACGUUUAGUAAUAAGGGAGAACAAAGUUUACCCUGCUAUCAGAAAAUAAGAAAUCAGAAUCCAGUCAUAUGGGAUGGGAGAAGCUCGCAAGCUAUUACAACUGAACUCAGGAAGCAGAUAAUCAGCUAGGAAAGAGGUACCCUUAAAUGCCAGGCUGUAUCUGAGAGUGUAUCUCCCUUGAUCAGAGCCCAGAGUACAAGCUAAACAAUUCCUUCAUAAAUCAGCACACAUCAGCUUCUAAAAUCAGCAAUAUGUCUCCAAACAUCUUGAACUGACAUUAAGAAAUGCUGCACCAUUGAGAAAAUGGUUUCCAGUUAUUUGAACUUAAAGAAUUAACUUGUUGAAGCACAUCUUUAAUCAUUGAUAAGUUACUGAAUUCAAAGAGAAGUAAUAAUGAAUGGUAAACCAAUUAACUAGGAAUUAUAUUUCAAUUUUUUUUUGCUUUGGCAAACUUGAUGAUUAGUUGAUAUUUUUUCAAUAUUUAGGAACAAGGAACACAUAUAAAUUUCACAUUUGUGUUUUUAGCAUUUUGACCAGCAAUUCAUUUUUCAAUUUCAUGUGUGAAGCUAAACUGAUGAUCUGUUAAUCUUCGUUUGUUUGGAAUUAGCCUGAAAAGUGCUAAAUACUGCUUUUUGGAUAGAAUCUUGAGUGGACUAGAACCAGUUUGUUAGGAAAAAAUAAAUCUGAGCCUACUUUACGUUUGAAGUAACUGAACGAUUACAUGAUUGCUUGGCUAUUUUAACAGUUGAUCUUGAUUUCCACACAAUGUGCAAAUUUAUUAUUACUAUAAACAAAAGGGGAAAAAACCCUUACAUCUAUUACAAAAUGCUUUAAGAGAUAGUAUUUAGUCAUGAUAUUUAUUAACACAGUUCAUAGUAAAGCUGAAAUAUGGCAAUAAUCUGGUUAGUUUGAUUUAUGUGGAUAGACAAAUUAUCUGGUUGUCAAAUACAUUACAAAACUCAUAUUUUAAUUUCUAUUUUAUAGACAUGAUUUUAAUGAUCUGUAUAUUUUACAUUCAUGUCACGUUCGUACCCGAAAUCUCUAAUUAAUUCAUGUUUUCCAUUACACCUUGGAGUAAUCAUUGCCCAGCUAUAGGGAACAGUAUGAAAUGAAGUGUGUUAUGCAUCAUUAAAUGUUUAUGUUAAAAUAGGGCAUUAUCUAGUUAGUUAAUUUAGACCAGGUAAAACUACACAAAAACGUUUCUCUCUGUUGCUCAGCAAUUCAGCCGUUUCUCUGCACAUCCUUCCUCAAGUUCUCCUGUCCCAUUCACAUUAAUUAUUCAAGGUCCCGAAACUUUUUCUUCCAGCAACGUUUGCUCUGAUACUCAUUCAAAGGUAUAAAUAAUUGACAACAGCUUAGAAUGUGAGUUUUCUCAGUAGCAUUUGGAUUUUAUUGAGGUUCAAAUUUUUAAACUACAAAAAUGGUGAAUGCAUCAGUAAAUGGGUGAUGGAAAUAUUUGGGGAGGAUGCACUGUUUGCAGUUGUCCUUGAAAUUGGAUCAAGUAGCCACUUGCCUACUCUGUCUGCUAGGAAGGCAGAUAAGAAUUCUGCACCUUCCUCUUCUACCCCUUAAAACUCUCCUUUGUUUCACAUAACCAGAAAAUGUUUAUUUUAAUUAUCUAGAUAUUCCAUUUCUAUUUUUCCUUUUUUACUGUAAGAAAUGGCAUGGUAAAAGAUUCAAUAAAACCAUAGUAUUUUAUGCUCAAUACUCUAAAUUAAGAAUUAAAGUCCUACUAUCUAGAUGCCAUUCCAAAUGAUUAAUUUUGUUUCACAUUGUUCAUAAGAAUAAUACAUUACUUUAGGUGAUGUUUUUUCCCACCAAAUUGCUUAGUUAAAAAAAAAACAUUAGUAAUUGCUAGUUCCUAUUAUCUAAGUAGAUAAAAUAUAAUUAGAAAAACAACUGGAUAGUUUCACUCUACGUUGUUCUCAGUGCAAUGUCCAGUUUGCAAAUGCUUCAUUCAUUUGUUAAUUUUAGAGGACAGCAUUUCAGUGCAAUAAUUGAAAAUAGCUCAUAGCCUGUUCUGUGAAGAAACAAAACAUUGGUUGUGUUGGUGUCAAGUAAGUUAAUUAUGCUUUAUCACCUUCAAAUGGAGCAUAUAAUUGAUUUAUGAAAUUCUGCUAUCGUGUUGAGACCAUUAUUAGUAAUCAAGAAUUCCAAUAGUUUCUUCUUAUUCCUCAUGUACAAAAUCAUCUGGGUAUUCCAUAUGUUUAAAAACAAUUCAAUUUGGAGCACUUGUACUAUCAUAAAUUGAUGAAUUAAAAACUAGAUACAAAGUGUGGAAACUACUGUAAAAGAUUACUGACUUCUAAAAAAUAUUGCAUUUAUUGUGGCAAUACAUUCUUAUUCAGCAAUAUGACUAUGUAAUUUUUCUGUAGUACUUUGUAGAAUUUUCAUUAAUUCCACUUAAAAUCAAUGGCUUAUAUACAGUUCUUUUUUGUGACAUGAAAACUAUAACAUUUUGGCUGAUCAAUGUUCUUUUGCUUGUUUACUUUUAGGUCUUUACAAUUACCUAAGGAAUUGCCUGAGGCAUUGAACAUAUUGCCGGAUAUUUAGCUGCAAACAAACAAAAAUGUUUUCAAACAAGGAUGUAGAUGAAAAAGCUAUACAAUGAUUUUAAUACCACCUCCACUCCAUCACCUCUACACCACCAGCACUGUCACACAUACUCUCAGAAUGUUUGGUAUCAUAUACAACUCUCCUAAAGCAAGAGAUAAUGUCAAAAAUUUAAAAAGAGAAUGCUACUCCUACAUUUCCAGGUAACAUAAAGAGUUGUAACCCUUGAACUUCCUGUAUAUAUUAAUAUUUGUUUUCAACACACUAAUUGCCUUGGACCUCUAUGAAUUUUAUGUAUUUAAUAAAUUAAUGCAAGUGUUCAUCUUAAUUUUAGAUUUACAUUUGUUAUCUUUGAACUAUAUCAAUUUCUCAUAAAACAAUUAAGAAACAGCAUAAACAAAAAGGGAAAUGAAAAUAUUUCAUUUCAUUAUUUAAGUGUUUGAUAAUGCUUGGUAUCAAGUAGACAUAAUCAGAAGAGUAUUUAAUAAAGCAAUGGAUUAGGAAGGGGCUGUUAGAGAACAUAGAUGGUAUUACUCUUUAAUAAUUAGGUACAAAAAUAAGGUCUUAAUAAAUUGGAAAUUUAUGUUUUCCAUUGAAUGUUCUUAAAAUGCCAAUAGAAUUAUAGUGAAAUGAUUUUCUUUGCUGAUUCCUAUGAUAGUAUGAUACAUACCUUAUUUUAGAUAUUUACAUUUUCAUUCUGUUAGAAUGAAAUACCUGUAUGUAUUCCAUGUGCUGACAUAUAACAAAAUCUGGGAUUUAAGAAAAUGUACUUCAAAAAUGUAAAAAUUGCAGAUAAUUGAAAUUUGAGGUAUUUAUAAUACAAAUAAGGACCAUUUAAAAUAUACCAACAGGCAUUAUUAAAAAUAAGUAUAUAGUUCUGUAAAGAUUGUGUGUGUUAUAUAUUGACUAUCAAACACUGGACAUUUGUGAACUAGCUUUUUGCUAUUCCUAAGUAUUAUCUUUCCAAAAACUUGCUAUGAAGGUCAUUUAUAUUUCCUUUCUAAAUGGAUUUUGAAUAAAACAUAAGAGCUGUAUUUAACAUUCUGCAUCUGAAUUCCAAGACUCUGAUUGUAUGCCUUCUUUUACAUUACAAAUCUAUCAAAUAGAGAUGAUUUUCCUUUUGAAUUCCAUAUUACCUAGCAAUAUUUAACACCUGAAAUGCUAGAAGUGGCACCCAUUGAUCUUUGCUCUGCAUUGAAAGUUGAUCAGUACAUGGCCUCAUGAAAGAAAAAUGUUCUUUCUAGGGUUUAAUAAAUGCUUCACAAUGAGUUUUUUUUUUUAAGUAGGCCUUAAUACCUAAUCACUUGCAUUCGGUGGCUAGAUUUGAGUGGAUAAGAACACCUACCAAAGUACAACUUCCAAUUUUUAUUUCAGAAGGAAACCAUCCUUGAGAGAUGAGAAAAUAACUUACUUUAAGCUUUAUUCAUUUUUGUAUUUGGCUGCCAUAAAAUAUCUUUUACUAAGUAGCUUUAGGGUUUUUUUUUUAAUCUAAUCCUGAUUAAAUUAAAAGAAAAACCUGGUAAGUUAAUUGUAAGCUUUCCCAUAAAAGAGAGAAGCACAAAAUGCCAUGGAAUAUAUCCAAGAAACAUAACAUAAACAUGAGACUUACAAUGCACAAUUUAAAAUUUCAUAUGUUGUCAAAUGAUAAAUGUCUGUUCCAGCUAUGAAUACUUUAACUUCAAAAAUCUUUCAUAGCCUUAAAAAAGAACUCUCACAGAAACAGAAGCUGGAAUGUUAUUUGUGAACUAGGCCUUGCACCUUGUCAAUAUUUUUAGUUCUUAAAUUUCUGGAAUGUUCUAAAGACAUAAAACAUCUACUUCAUUUUGAAAUUUUGAUUUUAACAUUUCACUAACAACACUGGGAAAGGAUCAUCUUAACUAAAGGUGUCAAGACUAACGUUUGAGCUUAGCCGUUGAACUUUCUCUUAGGGGAAACAGUUUAAUCCCCAAGUACUAUGAGAUAGGCGUUUUAAGGCAACUUUUUAAAAAGGAAAAUAAAUCUGCUUUUUGCCGUCUAGGAAAGAUACAUUUUUCCUUGUGGAAAUCUGCAGUCUGAAAAGACAGAUAUGAAAAGCAUGAACUGUUGAAAAUAACCUAAAUGUUCUUUGAAAAUUUAAAGGCCAGCUUAUCCUGCAAUGGUGAUAGAAUAGUCGGCUUACAACACGCAAAGCCGAGCCGCGGGUGGGCAGGCGCCGCCCGUGGCUCGCGGAGUGGAUGCACUCGAGGGCGCGGCCGCUGCGCUUGGGGAACUUUCAGGGCGCCAAGUACGGGUAGCGCUUCUGAUGGAUUCCCGGGUCUGGGAGGAUCCGAUUAUCCCGGGGCCGGGUGACACGCACAAAGCUGAGGUUAGAGUUGGCCAGGAAGGGAGGACCUGGUGAGCCGGUGGAACAAAAGCGGGAAGGCCUUUCCUUCUAGGAGCAAAACCAGCGACGCGUCCCGGACGCCCGGGGACCCCUGUGGGUCUCGGUUUCCUUCGCUGUGACCCUGACAUGUUUCCCUCCACCGGCCCGAGGAAACCGUCGCUUCCAGCCUCCAGGUGUUAUCUUAGGAGCCAAGCAUCUCCUUUGGUCCUGCGCUCCUUCGCCUAGCGCCUGGUGCCCCCCACCCGGCUGCAUCCGAGGCUUGCGCGGCCCGGUCCCAUCAGCCGAGCGUCGCCCGCCCAGGAGGAGGCUCGGGUUCUCCGCAGAAGCGAAUACUUUCUCUUUUUGUUUUAAGUUAGAACCUUGCUUUUGCAGUGAUUCGUUGCUGUGGCGUGAUUUUAAACAGGUCGAAAAGCAUCAUGAAGCCAAGUGGUUAUUGUUUUGCUUAUUCAGUGUGAACUGAGUGAGCCAGGUUUGUAUACCAAGUGAUUCUCGUGGUGGACAAUACCAAUAUGAUUAUGCCAAAUGCAUUGCUUCUGAGGCAUCACUCUUUGGGCACAUAUAGACCCUGCUGAUUUCUGCCAAAGCACUCUUCUUAAAGUUCCAAAACAUUACCCCAAAACCUCUAUAGCCCCCUAUUGCCAACAAAAUUAAAGCCUUUCUCUUCAUUGGCAUUAGAAGCCCCUGUAACCCAUUGCUUUUCCAUUUCCAGCCUCUUUCC
rnacentral:lncRNA from 1 species